GAUCAUGGCUCAGAUUGAACGCUGGCGGCAGGCCUAACACAUGCAAGUCGAACGGUAACAGGAAGCAGCUUGCUGCUUUGCUGACGAGUGGCGGACGGGUGAGUAAUGUCUGGGAAACUGCCUGAUGGAGGGGGAUAACUACUGGAAACGGUAGCUAAUACCGCAUAACGUCGCAAGACCAAAGAGGGGGGACCUUCGGGUCCGUCCUUGCCAUCGGAUGUGCCCACGAUGGGAUUAG
rnacentral:rRNA from 1 species